CAGGGGGGAGGCACGUGAGUAAGAGGGAGGAACAGUGCAGCAUGGAGGUACAACAGACUGCUGCAGCAGCGCAGAAAGAUGAACGCGAUGGUUUAGGGAUAUUAAAUCGGGUCGGGCGUGGAGAACAAAGCGAAGGGAGUCACGGCGCUUUAUCCUCCACGACGCCGUGUCACUCCCAACCGCACCCCCACAUGAACGCAACGGCUCCAGCGCGGCAUGUGGUCGUCCCAGGUGUCCAGAUUCCUCGGGCACCGCGGUCCCCACGCCCUCCGACCCCCGUACUCUUCCCCCCCUACAACUCGCUGAUGGAACGAACGUGGAGGGAUGGGCGCAGAAAGCAAAGUUUGGAAAGGCUAAAUUGGAUCACUUGGACAUAGCCUUUUCCAUCCAUCGCCAUCCAUACGGGAGUUCCAGGCGUGGAGCAAUGAGCGUCAAGGAGACGAAGCUGGGCGGACUCUCCGGAAACAUUUAAAUGACAAAGAAUAAUUAAAUGCGAAUGCUUCACGAUCCCUAUCAAACGCACCCGGCCGUCACCGAUUUCGCAAAGGGCUUUCAGUGCUAGUCAUGGGCCUGGUGAUGAGGGCAAAAUGCAAGGCUGCAUAUGGGGAUGCAUGCAUGCUCUCACCAUAUCCCGGACAGCUGCACCCUAUCAGCUGAGCUGCAUGUGACAUGUGAGAUAAGGGAGCCGUAAGAUAUUGGAACCACCCACAUCUACUUGGACACGGUGAUCAAAUGGAGGAGCUGUCAGUGCAAACCUCACACCGCCAACCUUUUCCGAUCUAGUUUCUUGCUUUUUCUCUUUCAUGGUUUGCAGCCGUAUUUAGCACCACCUCCGAUGACUAAGAAAAUAUUGGAUUCAUAGGCAUUGACAUUGGAGGUACUUGCUGUCUUGGGACGGCAGAAUACGUUGCAUUUCUAUUUCAUCCUUACUAGAAAAUUCACGAAAGAUCUAGUAUUAGAUUUCUAGGGUUUGCACAUACCCAAUGGCACCUGAAAGUGACCAUGCUCUACUUUGUUCCUCGGAGCAGGGGACAGACAUUUCAACUAGUGUGUCGAGGGAAGGUGACAGUGGUGGUAUGAAUAAUUAGAUAGGUCCCAGAAUGGGAGCAUGUUUGAGGGUUAUCGUAUCCUUAUCACUGGGGCCCCGUGGGUUCCCGGAAGGGUAACUUAUCACCAUCUUCGUCCACUAAACGUGGACCCGUCAGUCAUUCUACGUGAAAAGGACUUGCUAACCGGAGAAUGAAACGGGAGACGAGGGACUCCCACCCAGUUUUGACGUGUCAGCGUGUGACCCCACCACUCGAGGUCAGGCUUCGCUUGGAUGGCUCCGGUGGAUGGAGAUUCCUGAUGAG